CUGUGAAUGGUAACCUAGACAAACUCUUUAAGGUCAGAAGACUGCAUGCUACAGAACAAGAGUCUGUAAUGGCAUAGUCAGCCCAGUCAGAAGUAGGUAAAAAAUGAUACAUCACAAUGUCCAGGUGAACUUUUUUUAAUUUACUUAUUUAUUUUUCAAAGAGCCACUCUCCAUAAUGGCCAGAGAAGCAUGCUGAAGUGGACAACACACGCUCUGAACCCACCAAGUUGGUCCUGCCUUGGUUGUUAAUAUACGUUUGCUGAGAGGCUUAGGUGGGGGCCACACUGCUUGAAGUCGCCCAGGAGUCCUGUCCUCACUGUCUGCUGGGGAGAUGAUCUCAGGCUGGGAUUUAAAGAGAAGGGAAAGGGCAACAGAUCCAAAGAGGAAAACAGUUCAUUUUAGUGUGCAUGUUUUAGCCACAUUUAAAACUACAUCUUGACGGAGAAUAAUUUAAUUAUGAUCUUGCUGUUUUGUCAUAUCUGUUUUUAAAAUAAUAAAAUUCCACAAGUCGAUGGGGGAAAAAAAAAAGAUUGAAUAUACUUUCAUGAAUUUGUUUAGCUUUAAAGCUAAACCAAUUACAUUUCAACCGGAUAUGCAAUAAUUCCAAAUUAGGAUUCAUAAAGACUAAAGACUGAAACUAGCCUGAAAAAAUGUCUCAGAAAUUCUAACAGCUCUAAGAAAAUGUAAUACCAUUUUAAACUUUAAUUUGUACAAUAAAAUGCAGUUUGAGUGAUACAUACUG